GUGAACGCUGGCGGUAGGCCUAACCCAUGCAAGUCGAACGGCAGCACAGUAAGAGCUUGCUCUUACGGGUGGCGAGUGGCGGACGGGUGAGGAAUACAUCGGAAUCUACUUUUUCGUGGGGGAUAACGUAGGGAAACUUACGCUAAUACCGCAUACGACCUACGGGUGAAAGCAGGGGAUCUUCGGACCUUGCGCGAUUGAAUGAGCCGAUGUCGGAUUAGCUAGUUGGCGGGGUAAAGGCCCACCAAGGCGACGAUCCGUAGCUGGUCUGAGAGGAUGAUCAGCCACACUGGAACUGAGACACGGUCCAGACUCCUACGGGAGGCAGCAGUGGGGAAUAUUGGACAAUGGGCGCAAGCCUGAUCCAGCCAUACCGCGUGGGUGAAGAAGGCCUUCGGGUUGUAAAGCCCUUUUGUUGGGAAAGAAAAGCAGCAGGUUAAUACCCCGCUGUUCUGACGGUACCCAAAGAAUAAGCAUCGGCUAACUUCGUG
rnacentral:rRNA from 1 species